rnacentral:rRNA from 1 species
GGAAGUAAAAGUCGUAACAAGGUCUUCCGUUGGUGAACCAGCGGAGGGAUCAUUACAGAGUUAUCCAACUCCCAAACCCAUGUGAACUUAUCUCUUUGUUGCCUCGGCGCAAGCUACCCGGGACCUCGCGCCCCGGGCGGCCCGCCGGCGGACAAACCAAAACUCUUGUUAUCUUAGUUGAUUAUCUGAGUGUCUUAUUUAAUAAGUCAAAACUUUCAACAACGGAUCUCUUGGUUCUGGCAUCGAUGAAGAACGCAGCGAAAUGCGAUAAGUAAUGUGAAUUGCAGAAUUCAGUGAAUCAUCGAAUCUUUGAACGCACAUUGCGCCCAUUAGUAUUCUAGUGGGCAUGCCUGUUCGAGCGUCAUUUCAACCCCUAAGCACAGCUUAUUGUUGGGAACCUACGGCUUCGUAGUUCCUCAAAGACAUUGGCGGAGUGGCAGUGGUCCUCUGAGCGUAGUAAUCUUUUAUCUCGCUUCUGUUAGGUGCUGCCCCCCCGGCCGUAAAACCCCCAAUUUUUUCUGGUUGACCUCGGAUCAGGUAGGAAUACCCGCUGAACUUAAGCAUAUCAAUAAGCGGAGGA